CCCUUCUCAGUUUAAUUUAAGUGUUACCAGUCUGUCUCUAAACAGUCUCAGUUUAGUUUAGGUGUCUCCAGUCUGUCUCUAAAUAGUCUCAGUUUUAUUUAGGUGUCUCCAAUCUGUCUCUAAACAGUCUCAGUUUAGUUUAGGUGUCUCCAGUCUGUCUCUAAAUAGUCUCAGUUUUGUUUAGGUGUCUCCAAUCUGUCUCUAAACAGUCUCAGUUUAGUUUAGGUGUCUCCAGUCUGUCUCUAAACAGUCUCAGUUUAAUUUGGGUGUCUCCAAUUUGUCUCUAAAUAGUCUAAGUUUAGUUUAGAUCUCUCCAAUCUGUCUCUAAACAGUCUCAGUUUAAUUUGGGUGUCUCCAAUCUGUCUCUAAAUAGUCUCAGUUUAGUUUAGGUGUCUCCAAUCUGUCUCUAAACAGUCUCAGUUUAGUUUAAGUGUCUCCAAUCUGUCUCUAAACAGUCUCAGUUUAAUUUGGGCAUCUCCAAUAUGUCUCUAAACAGCCUCAGUUUAGUUUAGGUGUCUCCAAUCUGUCUCUUAACAGUCUCAGUUUAGUUUAGGUGUCUCCAGUCUGUCUCUACACAGUCUCAGUUUAGUUUAGGUGUCUCCAGUCUGUCUCUAAACAGUCUCAGUUUAAUUUCAGUAUGUCCAAUAUGUCUCUAAACAGUCUCAGUUUAGUUUAGGUGUCUCAGAUCMGUCUCUAAACAGUCUCAGUUUAAUUUGGGUGUCUCCAAUAUGUCUCUAAACAGUCUCAGUUUAGUUUAGGUGUCUCCAAUUUGUCUCUAAACAGUCUCAGUUUAAUUUAGGUGUCUCCAAUCUGUCUCUAAACAGUCUCGGUUUAAUUAAGUUGCCUCCAAUAUGUCUGUAAACAGUCUCAGUUUAAUUUGGGUGUCUCCAAUCUGUCUCUAAACAGUCUCAGUUUAUUUUGGGGGUCUCCAAUCUGUCUCUAAACAGUUUCAGUUAUUUUGGUGGUCUACAACAGCCUCAUUUAGUUUAGGGGUCUCCAACUUGUCUCCGUUUCAUUGCAGGGGUCUUUAACAUGUCUCACUUUAGUUGUGGGAUCUCAAAGCUUUAGAUCAGCUUUUUGACUUGUUUGCUCUCCUCUGGCAGAAAAUCUCCAGGUCUAAAAACCAAACCAACA